rnacentral:rRNA from 1 species
GUCCUACGGGGGGCAGCAGUGAGGAAUAUUGGUCAAUGGACGGAAGUCUGAACCAGCCAUGCCGCGUGCAGGAUGACGGCUCUAUGAGUUGUAAACUGCUUUUGUACGAGAAUAAUAGUUCUUACGUGUAGGGAUUUGAAUGUAUCGUACGAAUAAGGAUCGGCUAACUCCGUGCCAGCAGCCGCGGUAAUACGUAGGGAGCAAGCGUUAUCCGGAUUUAUUGGGUGUAAAGGGUGCGUAGACGGGAAUGUAAGUUAGUUUUGAAAUCCCUCGGCUCAACUGAGGAAUUGGAACUAAAACUGCAU